rnacentral:lncRNA from 1 species
AUCCAUUACAAAGAAUACUCAUUUAGAAGUUUUAAUUUAUCUCUUUCUUUUUCAUAAAAUAGUUAUGUUUCUGUAUGUGGGAUACGAGAUCAGCUAGUUGAACUCUCACUCUUGUUUUCUAUCGUCCAACUCGUUCUAUUAGUUCGUGUCCUCAGGUACUAAUCGGGGGUCCUGCAAAGAGAACACUCUGACACUCAAGUUAGACGGAAAAUUGGUAAGCUGAAUGAUUCUAAAUCAGAAAAAAGUAAGUCUACCUAGUCAAUGAUUCCCCAUUUAUAAUCCUUACAUCCGUAACUGACUAUUAAUUACUUUAAACCAUCGCAUCUUUCUUUACUUUCCCAUCAAAACCCAUCAAUGCUUCUCUACCAUCAUACCAACCUUAAAUCCAUGUGAUUGGUCUCCCUGGCGAUCGGGUUCUACUUCUCCCACUAUACCGAUUGGCCCCACCGAACCCCCUGUACUCCAAGUUAUAUUUUUGUAUUUCUCUUUAUCUGUUAUCAAUUAAUUUUGAGUUGUCCAUUU